GUGAAGAUGAGUCCUUCUGCAGUGGUGACAGAGGGUCAGAGAGUCACACUGACCUGCAGUACCAGCUGUCCUCUGACUGACAACACAAACUACAUUUGGUACUUGAACAGUCGACCUCUGAACAUGACAGAGACCCACAACAAACAUCUGAUCCUAGACCCAGUCAGCAGGGAGAAUAUAAGAAAUUAUUCCUGUGGUGUUCAAACUAACAAGGAUAACACCACAGCUCAAUGGCUGCCAGCAGCUGCAGGAGGUUUUGCAGCUCUCCUGUUAAUAAUAAUAAUACUUCUCACUGUGUUCUGCUGCCGGAGAAAAAAGAGGGCUUCCAGUCAUUCUCCAAAGAGUGAAAUAUCAGACAAAAAACAGCAGGUCAACCAUAAUCCCAUAUAUGAAAACUUCUCAGCUCACCACAGCAGAAUGCCUGUCAAUACACACCAACCAGCUCAUCUCUAUUCCAAUGAAGGUGAACUUUACUCGAAUCAAGGUGACCUCUACUGCAAUGAAGGUGACCUCUACUCCAAUGAAAGCGAAGUCUAUCCCAAUCAAGCUGAACUCUAUUCCAAUAAAGCUGAUCUAUACUCUAACAUCCAAUACUGAGUCACUGCUUUUUAAACAGAAAAAAUCUCAAAAAGCACCA